rnacentral:lncRNA from 1 species
CGCAGACCCGGCAGGGCGUGCGCCCCCGCCCCGGCCCGGCUGCCCGAGAGCCCGGGCGGCAGCCAGCUCUCUCCUCGUCUCCCUCCUGUCCUUCUCGUUAGGUCCUCUCUUCUCCACUCACUUUCUCCCUCCUCUUCUGCCCUGCUUCCUUUUUAUUUUUCCUGCUUGUUUCUGCAAGUUUGUUUCAGAAGUUCACAGCACGCUCUCUUUCCUUUUAGACCUGGAGACCGUGGUCUCACCCUGACGGUCUCUCAACCGGGAGAAGCGCCGUGGCGAUGGUUUCUAGCGGAGAUGCCGCAGUUCGACCUAAACUGUGGACUGCAAUGGCGGGAGAAGCAUCUUGCAAAGCUGGAAUCUCCGGGCAGCCGUGCUAAUGAGGAGCCCAGACUGCGGGGUGCGAUUCACCUCGUUUUCUGGUUUAAUCCUCCCCAAAGCUCUAGGGGACGAAAUGCACGGAAUUCAUUGUCCCCUUUUGCCAGCUGGGGAAACUGAGGCUUAAAGAGACCGCGUGUCAUCGGUAAAUAUGAGCAUGCCUGCUGGGCUCUGGGACGCAGGAGGGAGGGGGGCAAGCGACCUCCCUGAGAGACCUCACCUUCCGGUGACAGAGCAAAUAAUGACGUAGCAUGGCUGAGGGUACAGUGUGAUUAUGGGCCGAAAUCGCUGAUGGGAAGGAGAGGGGGUACCGUGUUUCCCCGAAAACAAGACCUACCCUUAAAAUAAGCCCCGGCAGGAUGUCUGAGCAUGUGCGCCAUAGAAGCCCCAC